CUACCUAGUAGUAUGGGAUAGCCACUAGAAAUGGUGGGUAAUACUGUAUAAUCCCUGCGGGGGAAAGAUUUAUCGCUAUUAGAUGAGCCUAUGUCAGAUUAGCUAGUUGGUGGGGUAAUGGCCUACCAAGGCGGUGAUCUGUAGCUGGUCUGAGAGGAUGAUCAGCCACACUGGAACUGAGACACGGUCCAGACUCCUACGGGAGGCAGCAGUGGGGAAUAUUGGACAAUGGGCGCAAGCCUGAUCCAGCUAUGCCGCGUGAGUGAGGAAGGCCUUAGGGUUGUAAAACUCUUUCAGUAGGGAAGAUAAUGACGGUACCUACAGAAGAAGUCCCGGCAAACUCCGUGCCAGCAGCCGCGGUAAUACGGAGGGGGCAAGCGUUGUUCGGAAUUAUUGGGCGUAAAGGGCAUGUAGGCGGUUUGGUAAGUAAAGGUGAAAUACCAGGGCUUAACCCUGGGGCUGCUUUUAA
rnacentral:rRNA from 1 species